AGGUAAUGUGAGCCACCAAAUGAACAACAUCAACCUUAAGAUACUUCCAUAAACCUCUCCGCAUCCCUCAAAAGCCCUAGCUUUGUAGUCUCACUCCCACCAACACACCACCCUCAAAAUUUCCGUCUCCUCCUUCCAAUAACGCAAGCCAACAUCAUUUCUUCACAUAAAGGUCGCAUCUUUUUUACCCUUUAAAGUAACCCUACUGCAAAAAAAUGGAGACCUCACAUGUACCAGAAGCAGUUCUUGAUUCUGCCAACACUACCUUAGCAAAUCUUGAACUGCUUGAGAUUCAAUUGCUUCCUUUUCUGUCUCUGUCUGACCCUGAAAUUCUUGCUGAUGUGUCUCCUCUUGAACGUGCUCACUCUCUUUUUUUGUUUGCCAAGGCCACCACUUUGCUUUUUGCAUUGAGGUUGAGAUGUAAUGGAAUUGACCCUAAUGAGCAUCCUGUCAAAACUGAACUGGAAAGGUUGAACUUGUAUCAAGACAAACUAGACCGGGCUUUGGAUUUAAGUAAAGCACCAUUGCGGCCUUCUACAACAUUGAACUUCCGAGCUGCUACCCGUUUCAUUGAGCAUUCCUUGCCUGAUCUUACCCCUGAACAGAAGAAAAGUAUGAGGGAUAUCAGUAAAGGCAACGAUGCGAAGAUGACAUAUUUGGAGAAGAGGGCUCAAAGGAAGAGAAAAUUCCAGUCAGCUAGUACCGGUUCGGUACAAGCUGCUGCCUCAGAGUUUCUGCAGAAAGCAGCUCGUGAACUUCUCGGUGAUAAUACAAGUGGUUUUAAGGGUCCUAUCGGCAUGUUAGAUGAAGACAACAUGCACGUCGGCUGAUGAUUUAAUGCAUUGGUAUCAAUAUUGCGCCUUUAGUUUUACACUGUCUAUGUUGAUUUGUACAUUAAUAAAUAGUUUCCGAUUGAUCUUGCUACGGGAUUUUACUUGACAAAUAAAAACUAAGGACUUCACAGACCAGAACUGCCUGUUUUCAUCAUUGGCCUUCUGCAAUACACAGUCUUUAUUUCUGUAGUACACAGUCUAUAUAGUUUCUACAGCCGAUUACAUUAUGGCAUGCUGGGAUUUUGAUGAGAGGUAGUUUAUCAGUCCACUGUUAGACUCCUCGUGGACAGAGCGGAGCUCUUUCAGAAGCCUCUGUUAUCCUCGGAAAUUCCGGCUGUCCUUUUAGCUUUGGCUCUGGGCAUAGAAUAAGAAAUCAUAUGAAUGUGUAGUCUAUGCUUAUGUAAUCUGUUAUCAGGCUCUUCAAACUUCCACCAGUUCCUGGUAAUCUGUGGAUAUUUUGUUUAGAUGAAUAUAACAAUCUUAAUGACAUUCUUAUGUUAUUGAAUUAAAUAUGAAGCAGCAGUGACAGUGUUCUACA